UUAGCCAUGCAAGUCUCAGUACAUGCCGCACUAAGGUGAAACCGCAAAAGGCUCAUUAAAUCAGUUAUGGUUCCUUGGAUCUUAAACAGUUACUUGGAUAACUGUGGUAAUUCUAGAGCUAAUACAUGCAAACAAGUCCCGACCAGAGAUGGGAGGGACGCUUUUAUUAGAUCAAAACCGAUCGGCGUCCGGCUCCGGCCGGCGCCGUCUCUUUUGGUGACUCUGGAUAACUUUUAGCCGAUCGCACGGUCACAGUACCGGCGACGCAUCUUUCAAAUGUCUGACUUAUCAACUGUCGAUGGUAGGCUCUGCGCCUACCAUGGUUGUAACGGGUAACGGGGAAUCAGGGUUCGAUUCCGGAGAGGGAGCCUGAGAAACGGCUACCACAUCCAAGGAAGGCAGCAGGCGCGCAAAUUACCCACUCCCGGCACGGGGAGGUAGUGACGAAAAAUAACGAUACGGGACUCAUCCGAGGCCCCGUAAUCGGAAUGAGUACACUUUAAAUACUUUAACGAGUACCAAUUGGAGGGCAAGUCUGGUGCCAGCAGCCGCGGUAAUUCCAGCUCCAAUAGCGUAUAUUAAAGUUGUUGCGGUUAAAAAGCUCGUAGUUGGAUCUGUGUGCCACGCUGUCGGUUCACCGCCCGUCGGUGUCAACUGGCAUGUCUGUGGGACGUCCUGCCGGUGGCGGUACGGGCUGCCGGCGCUGCGUAGGGGCACAACCCCGAAGCACGCCGGCGUGUCCCGGUCCGCCGAUCCAAUCCCGCCGCGGUGCUCUUCACUGAGUGUCGAGGUGGGCCGGCACGUUUACUUUGAACAAAUUAGAGUGCUCAAAUCAGGUCGUAUUUAGGCCUGAAUACUGUGU
rnacentral:rRNA from 1 species